AUUUCAAGACAGAAUCAAAUAAUGAGACUUUCUAGAUGCAAAAAGCAGCCUUUGACUUGGGUCAACUCUAGUGAGUUGUGUGUGACUACCCGUAUUGCUGUGUUGAGAGUUUCUGAGGCAUCCAGACUGGGUAGGAAGAGGUUAAAACCACCACCAAAUGGAAGAAAUUAAC